CAAGAAUAGACUGAUGUUGUCCUUAACCUGUCACCCGAUUAUUACAAAAUUCUCUACAGAAUUAAAUGUAUAGAAAAACAUAAGAAAGGGACAUAACCAAGUCGGAAAGUAAUGUUAAUUUCACAAUGUGCCCACUGCAUUCAUCUGUGUGCUGUUUUCAAGGGUAACAUAGUUCACGUGUUGCCCGUUAGGUUUUUUCGUGCUGGUCUGACUAGUUCUAUUUAAUUAUUUUGCAUAGAUUACUUUGGUCAGUUUUCAUAUUUAUGCCAGGAACUAUCUUUUUAAUUCAUUGCAUUUAAAUACUUAUCUGUACUAUCCAAAAUAUCCUGAUAUGAUUUGUCUCUCUGAGUCUGAACCUGGAAGCGCCCUCGAAAGGAAAACACUUGUUUAACACACAGGAAGUAGGUUUAGCUCCACCCCCUGCAUCCGCCAUCUCCUGUUACUACAUGGGAAGGCGGGCGAAUUUGAAAAAAGAGCAUAUUCGUUUGCAUCCGAAAACAGAGAAAUUUGUUUAAUACAAUUCCAUAUAACCGACCAUAUAACAGAUUGGACAGUCUUACUGACUAGCAGCAGUUUGCAGUUUCUGGAUCUGUAUUGUCUUGCAAGAUGAGCAACAAAACCACACGAUUACCGUCGCGGAAAAGCAGCGAUGAAAUCAGAAAGUCAAGUGGAAAGAGUCCACCACGAAGGAGGUCCUGCAGGUUGUCUGCAAGUGAUGUAAAUCUGGCCUCUAAAGUUGUGGUGAGUUCACUAAAGUCAGUCACUGAUUGAUGAGUGGUAGGAAUCGAUGGAAAAAACAAGACACGUCUGGUAUUUACUUCUAUAAAUGAAAUCAGAAGCUGAUUUUCUGUUGUGAGUUGACAAGUAAGGUUUUUUUGCUCAUCACGUG
rnacentral:lncRNA from 1 species